UGGAGAAGAUCCAACAUCGAGACAAGGCCGCAAGGAAUCGGAGGAGAACAAGCAUAAUAGAAGCAAGCUCAAGCAGCUCCAGGUAGAGCAGAGAUCACCCAAAACGAUCAAACCGAAGGGCAACCCCCGGGGACGAAUAGAUCUGAGUAUAUCUAGAUAGGAGCACCAAAAACAGAGCCCACCACCGCGCCGACCGCCGAAGGAACCACCAGAAAACCACGAACCCACCCAAAAGCAGCCACAGUAGCAGUAGACGAAAAACGUCCAGAAAUGAGCAAAAAGCCCAAGCAAUAUCACCACAGAGGGUGAGGCAAAAUCACCACCGAGGGUGAGGCUAAUCACCACAGAAGGUGAGGAGGAAACAGUCAAAGAGAAAGGGGCAAAACCAAACCAAGGAGAGAUUAAACGAGAGAAAGGAAGAGGAGGGAAGGGGAGGAGGGGCAGACCACCUCCCCCCCAGGAUGCGGCGCUGAAAGGUUGGGAGCGUUUAGGGUUUGAAAGUUUUUGCCCUCGCAAAGUUAAUGAAUGCGAAUGAAGAUCACAGCCAGCUUUCUGCUAUUGCAAAAAAUCUGAGAUUUUAAUAAGCCAUCGCAAUCUGACUAGUUACUUGGGUACUUAGAAAGCGCAUGGCCCGACUUGCCAAUGAGGUCGUUAAGCUCACCAGUUGCGUACAUUUGGGCAUCCCAUUGAAAGAGCCAUUUACAGGUCAUUCUAAUGUUGAGCUUGCUUUAGUUUAUAUGUGUUUUUGUCCUUUUCAGCUUUGUUAAACCCUGUCUUCAACUUUCAUUUCUAAUCCAUUGAUUAUCUAUGAAUUGUUAGGUUUUUGUUUCCAUUUGUUUAUUCAGUUGUUCUUCUUUUAUACCCUCUCAUUGGUUUCUGCUCCUGUGUCUUAUGAUUUUCCACUUCCACUUAUCACUCCCUUGUCAUACACACUUGCAGUACAAGAUAAAUAGAAUCUCAAGUUUGCCUUGUUCUGGAUGAUAAAUAGAAUUCUUUUAGUCAACUAAUGAGAUGGGGUGGUUAACAUUUAUUUAAGUGUGACUGGAACAGUUUUGAGUGAUGAAUUUUCCUAUUUUCACUAGGGAGCUGCCUUUGAAUUUGAUAUUUUCGGGAGUGAUUCGAUGCUUUUCUCUCUUUCGAAAACUUAACAAAAUUAAAUAUUCACAAUAUUCCCCAUCUUCUGUAUAAUAAAAAUGAUGAAACUGCUUCUACAUGUGAUUAUGAACUCCAACACAUCUUUUGUCCUUGUGGUUGUAAUAGUCAGCAGUUAAUGCACUUCUUUGCUGCUUUAGUGGAUGUUUUUUAUGCUUUACUUUCUCUCUGUUAUUGUGCUGAAGAAAAUAUGGAGGUUAAACAAGAAAAUGAUGAGAAUUUCAUUCCCAACUUACAUACUUCGACACAUCUGUCAACUUCAAUUUCCGGCUUGCAUCCAAAUAAGAAAGCGAAAAAGGAUCCAUUGGCACAAGCAAUUGGUGAGGCGGCAGACUCACAAAAGGAGUUUUCGGCAAGUCAAAUGAACCGCAACUCAGAGGAGAGGAUGUACUUGCAGUGGUCUCAAAGAUACCGAACCUCAGUAGAUUGCAAGUUUUGAAGGCCAUACACAUGUUAUUGAAUACUAAUCCAGAAGAGGUCUUUCUACUCAAAUAUCUUCCUGAUGAUGAGAAGACAGAGUGGAUAAUACUGCUUAUUAGUCAAUCCUGGGUCUAACUUUCUUGAUAAAUGAUACUGAGCCAAUUAUUUCUCAGGGGUUUAAACUUUUGCAUAGAGAGUCACUUAUCAGCAUUUACUCUCUCUCUCUCUCUCUCUCUCUCUCUCUCUCUCUCAUUGAUCCAGUAUUAGGAGUGAUCUUGCUUUUUAUUCUUUUCAUAUACAAUAUUAUUUAUAUCCUUUUAUGUCCUUUUACACACACUGAGCUUCUUGACAUGUUAUGGGCUUUUAAUCA